AUGAUCUCAUUAAAUACCGAUAUCAAGCUUGAUCAACGAAGGUACAAUGCGCCAACAACUUCUCAGGUAGCAGCAAUAUGGGUUGAAGGGAGCGACCCACAAAAAACCUUUGAUAGAAGUGUUAUCGUGUACGGGAAAGGAGAGCGUCCCCUGUAUAUUAGAGCAUACUAUGGGUGCUACGACCCUUUGUCAUAUCCACUAUUCUUCGCACGUGGGGAGAUCGGUUGGAAUCGUUUGAUGCCAUAUAUUGGGGCCGCCGAUGACACAAACCAAGAUUCAGGCCUUGUUGACACCGUCAUCGCUGGCGAGUCACGCGGUGAUCGUAUUGGCAAGAGAAUCGUGCUUCCACGUAUCUUUCCUGGUGGUGACCGUGACAUGCAACGCAGGUUCCUGGCAAUAGUUCAACGAUGGGGUAAACCGGAGUAUUUUGUCAUGAUGACAUGCAAUCCCUACUGGGAGGAGAUAACUAUUGAAUUGUUGCCUGGACAGCUGCCACAAGACCGUCCAGACCUUGUGGCAAGAGUAUACAGAGCUAAACAACGAUCCAUGAUGGACUUACUGAUUAAGGGUAAGCAUUUUGGAGAAGUUGCGGCUUAUGUACAUGUCACUGAGUUUUAG
rnacentral:rRNA from 1 species